GAAGCUUGAAGCCAAUAUGAGCUUACAGAGGCUACAAACAGAGUGUCAUUUGGGGCCAAGGAUGAGAUAUUCUGCUUGUUUCAAGGCUCACUUGACAACCUAGGAAGCUUGAAGCAGCAAUAUGGGCUUGCCAAGAAUGCAAACGAGGUUCUCUUGGUCAUCGAGGCUUACAAGACUCUCCGUGACAGAGCUCCUUACCCGGCUAAC